rnacentral:rRNA from 1 species
UACGUAGGUGGCAAGCGUUGUCCGGAAUUAUUGGGCGUAAAGCGCGCGCAGGUGGUUCCUUAAGUCUGAUGUGAAAGCCCACGGCUCAACCGUGGAGGGUCAUUGGAAACUGGGGAACUUGAGUGCAGAAGAGGAUAGCGGAAUUCCAAGUGUAGCGGUGAAAUGCGUAGAGAUUUGGAGGAACACCAGUGGCGAAGGCGACUAUCUGGUCUGUAACUGACACUGAGGCGCGAAAGCGUGGGGAGCAAACAGG